CACAUAGUGUUUGUUGAAUUGACUUUUAGAUUCAUGAUUGUGAACCAACCACCAGAAAGGGAAUUUUAAGGGUCUCUCUCACUGCCACACUCUCUCCCUCUAAGGCUGCUUUGUUUCUCUCCUCCUUUGCCUCCAACAAUUGACAAGCCAUUGAAGUGCCCACCAUCUUCCUAGAGGUCUAUGACCAACCACCUCACUACUAAAUACCCACAAACUGAUUGUCCCAAAGGUUAUCAUUAGAUGGAAUAGGUUAAAAACAGGUAGGUGAGGUGGCUUUGUUCUCCCAGGUGGCUGCUUGUAAAAUCCUAGAGAAAUGCUUGAAAUUCCCAGACAACUCCAGUGGACCAACUAAUGCUUGAUGCAAUCCGUUAACAAAAAGAUUAAAUGUACACAGAACCAGAGCUAGAACAAGCUUAGACUUGGCUGAAACACCCACAUCUCAAUCCCAAAACAAAGGGAGAGUAAGAAACUUUAUGUAGAAGACUUAAAAUUGCGCAAAUGAUGGUCCAAAAGCCUUUGAAUACAACCUGGAACAACCCUUUAAAGACUAGGGCUGUCCUAACAAAAAGUAUGUUCUUGUGGAUCCUGAUACUGUACACUGGGCCAUGGGUCCAAUGGGGGGUUUGGGAGGGCCUCCCCCCAAGUGAAGGGGGGCCCAGGGGUACUUUUGGUAAUUUCUAAUUGCUUCCACGUUGUCCUAAUUUCUAUGCUUAUAAAUAGAAUAGGGGGGUGCCUCUUGUAUGAUAGAGAGUUGUAAUUGUUUUAUAAUCAUAGUGAAAACCAUAGUAGCCGUGGACGUAGCCUUACUGUGGGAUGAACCAUGUAAAUCAUUAUGUUCUUGUGUGUGUGUGAUGUCUUUGAUUUGUUUUUUUUUGUUUGUUUGUUAUUUUGUGUCUCACGUUAGGAAGAUUUGAUUUCCUAAUAGAUGUCAGCCUUUUAUUAACCUAAUCUAAGGGCUAUUUUCGUUCAAAAAAAUAAAAAAAAAUAAAAAUAAAAUCUAAGGGCUAUUUGUCAUGUGCAGCAGAAUAAAAGGAAUUAAAUGACUAAUCUGCCAUCGAAAGUCACAUGGCUCCCUUAAAAAUCACAUUUACCUUUUGAAAUAAAAGUACGAGCAAAAACCCAUAAGAAGUACUUCACUAAACUAAACGCCUAACAAGAAAAACUAAACAUCAAAUAAAAUUUAGAUUUUAGUUGUCUUAGUAUGCUGUCUUGCUUGCAGCGUAAGCUUCUCCAUUUGCUCUGCAACCACUACUAAUUUACUCCACAUUUGGAAAAAUUCAAGAACCCAAAAAGAGGUGCAGGUUUUUGAUGCAGCACACGCAGGUUUGAAGCAUUCUUAAGCUGGUUUUAGGGUUAGGUUUAGUGAAAGAAUGCCAAGAGUUAUGUAGGGUUUGGUUGUAGAAGGCUUGGGCUUAAAGAGAGAGGAAUUUGUUGGCAAAAUAAAGGCCGUUUAUAGGUGGUAAACAGUAAUCUGUGAACUGUACAGAAAAUAAAAGAAAAGAAGAGGCAGAAAACUAAGAAUCACUUCUAGAAUCUCUUAGGCGGUUUGGGUUGCAUCACAACAUCCCAAAACAGGCUUCACAGCUUUGAAAAUUUAUGUAAAAACUGAUCAUUAUUGAAUUAGAAGCAAUACAUAGUUUUAUAUAAAACUACAAGUGACUUUACCAGCUAGAAAUAUGAUUUACCAAAAAAAAAAAAAAACCAAAAAUAAUUGACUUCUAAAACUAAUCUAAUACCAAAUAAAACUCA